UUUGCGUCGAAGGUAUACCGGUAAGGAGUGCUGGAGCGAAUAGAAGUGAGCAUGCAGGCAUGAGUAGCGAUAAUUAAUGUGAGAAUCAUUAACGCCGUAAACCCAAGGUUUCCUACGCGAUGCUCGUCAUCGUAGGGUUAGUCGGGUCCUAAGUCGAGUCCGAAAGGGGUAGACGAUGGCAAAUUGGUUAAUAUUCCAAUACCAACAUUAGUGUGCGAUGGAAGGACGCUUAGGGCUAAGGGGGCUAGCGGAUGGAAGUGCUAGUCUAAGGUCGUAGGAGGUUAUACAGGCAAAUCCGUAUAACAAUACUCCGAGAACUGAAAGGCUUUUUGAAGUCUUCGGAUGGAUAGAAGAACCCCUGAUGCCGUCGAGCCAAGAAAAGUUUCUAAGUUUAGCUAAUGUUGCCCGUACCGUAAACCGACACAGGUGGGUGGGAUGAGUAUUCUAAGGCGCGUGGAAGAACUCUCUUUAAGGAACUCUGCAAAAUAGCACCGUAUCUUCGGUAUAAGGUGUGGUUAGCUUUGUAUUAGGAUUUACUCCGAAAGCAAGGAAACUUACAACAAAGAGUCCCUCCCGACUGUUUACCAAAAACACAGCACUCUGCUAACUCGUAAGAGGAUGUAUAGGGUGUGACGCCUGCCCGGUGCUCGAAGGUUAAUUGAUGGGGUUAGCAUUAGCGAAGCUCUUGAUCGAAGCCCGAGUAAACGGCGGCCGUAACUAUAACGGUCCUAAGGUAGCGAAAUUCCUUGUCGGUUAAAUACCGACCUGCAUGAAUGGCGUAACGAGAUGGGAGCUGUCUCAAAGAGGGAUCCAGUGAAAUUGUAGUGGAGGUGAAAAUUCCUCCUACCCGCGGCAAGACGGAGAGACCCCGUGGACCUUUACUACAGCUUGACACUGCUACUUGGAUAAGAAUGUGCAGGAUAGGUGGGAGGCUUUGAGUAUAUGACGCCAGUUGUAUAUGAGCCAUUGUUGAGAUACCACUCUUUCUUAUUUGGGUAGCUAACCAGCUUGAGUUAUCCUCAAGUGGGACAAUGUCUGGUGGGUAGUUUGACUGGGGCGGUCGCCUCCCAAAUAAUAACGGAGGCUUACAAAGGUUGGCUCAGAACGGUUGGAAAUCGUUCGUAGAGUAUAAAGGUAUAAGCCAGCUUAACUGCAAGACAUACAAGUCAAGCAGAGACGAAAGUCGGUCUUAGUGAUCCGGUGGUUCUGUGUGGAAGGGCCAUCGCUCAAAGGAUAAAAGGUACCCCGGGGAUAACAGGCUGAUCUCCCCCAAGAGCUCACAUCGACGGGGAGGUUUGGCACCUCGAUGUCGGCUCAUCGCAUCCUGGGGCUGGAGCAGGUCCCAAGGGUAUGGCUGUUCGCCAUUUAAAGCGGUACGCGAGCUGGGUUCAGAACGUCGUGAGACAGUUCGGUCCCUAUCUGCCGUGGGCGUAAGAAGAUUGAAGAGAUUUGACCCUAGUACGAGAGGACCGGGUUGAACAAACCACUGGUGUAGCUGUUGUUCUGCCAAGAGCAUCGCAGCGUAGCUAAGUUUGGAAAGGAUAAACGCUGAAAGCAUCUAAGCGUGAAGCCAACUCUAAGAUGAAUCUUCUCUAAGCUCUCUAGAAGACUACUAGUUUGAUAGGCUGGGUGUGUAAUGGAUGAAAGUCCUUUAGCUGACCAGUACUAAUAGAGCGUUUGGCUUAUCUUUAAUAAAGCAU
rnacentral:rRNA from 2 species